GAUGAACGCUGGCGGCGUGCCUAAUACAUGCCAGUCGAGCGAACAGACGAGGAGCUUGCUCCUCUGACGUUAGCGGCGGACGGGUGAGUAACACGUGGAUAACCUACCUAUAAGACUGGGAUAACUUCGGGAAACCGGAGCUAAUACCGGAUAAUAUAUUGAACCGCAUGGUUCAAUAGUGAAAGACGGUUUUGCUGUCACUUAUAGAUGGAUCCGCGCCGCAUUAGCUAGUUGGUAAGGUAACGGCUUACCAAGGCAACGAUGCGUAGCCGACCUGAGAGGGGGAUGGGCCACACUGGAACGGAGACCCGGGCCAGACCCCUACGGGAGGCAGCGGAGGGGAAUCUUCCGCAAGGGGCGAAGGCCUGACGGAGCAACGCCGCGUGAGUGAUGAAGGUCUUCGGAUCGUAAAACUCUGUUAUUAGGGAAGAACAAAUGUGUAAGUAACUAUGCACGUCUUGACGGUACCUAAUCAGAAAGCCACGGCUAACUACGU
rnacentral:rRNA from 1 species